AUCAUUUCUGCAACAAAGCUUUCUUGGAGGUGCCUGGAGUUGGAGUGUUUGGAAAGGGACUCUGAAAUGAAGUUCCUGGAUUCACCUUCGAGCUGGAGGUCUUAUCCGUUGCAGGAAGGAGCUUGAAGCAUGGUCAGGCCUGAAGACAGUGAGCCUGACCUGGGCCUUGUGCAGGUACAGACUGCCUCUGUCUACUGGGGGAGUCCUCUACUCGCAUCAAGGCGCUGAGUGGGUGAGUGGGCCCUGCCCAUCCUCCUCCAGGACCUGGAGGAAGGGGGACUUGAAAUGAUGAACUCUCCAAGGCCUUCCCAAUUGAGAACUGAAGGUCUGUGAGCUGCAACACAUAUCUGGCCCCCACCCCAGAUGUGCAGCCGUCCCAGCAGCCAGAGGCCAGCUCACCCCACCCAGAUUGCUGGCCAGCUGCAGCCCCCUGUUUCCCAGAGAAGAGAACUAAUAAAGGACAGUCUCGGAGCCACAGCCUCUCCAGUUCAAUCUUGCCACAGCCGCCCCAUAAAACUGAGGGGAGAGAUAUAAAGGAAACAAGUGUCUGGCAGAACCCUCAGGAGAAGCCGGGCUCCUCCAAGCUAUGUGCCUGGGAUGAGCAUGAAGUCUGAGUUCUUCUGGUGUGUAUCCUUGUCUAUUCUGCCCAGGAAAGAGAUUAGUGCUGCACUCAACUCUAGCCAAAAAAGCGUCUCUGUAGUCAGCAGCAGUUAAUGAAGGGACUCAUAAUUGAGAAUAAAUAACUUAUUGAGUACUCGGCUGUAUGUAACACGUUGAUAUCAAAGCCCUAGAAGCUCAAGGAACAUUGUGUGAGAUGGGGCCAAAAGAAUGUAGGAGCAGAAGACGGAAGGCAAGUUGGGAAAUGCAGUCUUUUUGCUGUAGCACGACACUCAGCUACAUAAGACCUGCACAAGAUCGAGCCAGCCAGAUCAUCCAACAUUAAUCGAAUUCAGUGGGUUACAAAACAACAAAUCAAAACCAACAACAAAUCAGAAGGGAUAUGAAGGGGAGACACAUGUCGUGGGUCCCUGGAGGACUGGGGAGGAUUUUAAGGUACAUAAUUUCAAGGUACAUUGUUAACCUGUACGAAUUGUCAAAGAACAAAU